CUAGACAAGCCUUCGACAUACAAGUACAUGACCCCACACUUCGGCCUGCCUUCCAGACUCCCAGUUAUCUGACUGGGAUAUUACACCAGGAAACACUGUUGGGAAAUCCUAAUCAGAUGUAGACCGCCUGAGCGAUGGAAGCCGUUUCAAUUGUCUGAGCGAUGGAGGCACUUCUAUUGGUUGCAAAAUCAUUUUAGACAGUGAGGACUUUGAAUUUCCCAGAAACCAAAUAGCCAGUGACAACUUUUUGCGCAUUGGCAAGGAACAGCACCUGCAGGCACGCAGUCUUGAUAGUGUUUACAGACUGUUAAUGGAGUGGGAUCCAGACAAACUCUUCACUUACAGGAGUUUUUAGCAAUCACCAUAGGUACAUGCAUUUCAAGUGAUCAUUGUGAAGUCAAAUGACAAAUGGACAGGAAGGAUAAACCACAGCUUCAGGUCAGGCCCUUCCCAUCCAAAAUUCGUUCUUCUUUCAAGGAAAAAAGGUUCCUCUAGCCAACACGAUCCUCUUACAGAGAAGAAAAGGAAACCUUUCACAUCAUCUGAUAAAGGUUCUAUCCAAAGGAGGAGGAUCUCCGGAAUGACGGUGUGUGUUAUCCUCCGUUAUACGUAGAGAAGAACGUCGUUCCUGCCUCCAG